GAUGAACGCUGGCGGCGUGCCUAAUACAUGCAAGUCGAGCGAACAGACGAGGAGCUUGCUCCUCUGACGUUAGCGGCGGACGGGUGAGUAACACGUGGAUAACCUACCUAUAAGACUGGGAUAACUUCGGGAAACCGGAGCUAAUACCGGAUAAUAUAUUGAACCGCAUGGUUCAAUAGUGAAAGACGGUUUUGCUGUCACUUAUAGAUGGAUCCGCGCCGCAUUAGCUAGUUGGUAAGGUAACGGCUUACCAAGGCAACGAUGCGUAGCCGACCUGAGAGGGUGGUCGGCCGCACGGGAGCGGGGCCACGGUCCAGACUCCUACGGGAGGCAGCAGUAGGGAAUCUUCCGCAAUGGGCGAAAGCCUGACGGAGCAACGCCGCGUGAGUGAUGAAGGUCUUCGGAUCGUAAAACUCUGUUAUUAGGGAAGAACAAAUGUGUAAGUAACUAUGCACGUCUUGACGGUACCUAAUCAGAAAGCCACGGCUAACUACGUG
rnacentral:rRNA from 1 species